rnacentral:piRNA from 1 species
UACUGUCAUUCUAAUGUGAAAUCCUCUGC